GUCCAGACUCCUACGGGAGGCAGCAGUGGGGGAUAUUGCACAAUGGGGGAAACCCUGAUGCAGCGACACCGCGUGGGUGAGGAAGCGCUUCGGCGUGUAAAGCCCUAUCAGUGGGGAAGAAAAAGGACGGUACCCAAAGAAGAAGCACCGGCUAAAUACGUGCCAGCAGCCGCGGUAAUACGUAUGGUGCAAGCGUUAUCCGGAAUGACUGGGUGUAAAGGGAGCGUAGGCGGCGCGUUAAGUCUGAUGUGAAAACCCGAGGCUCAACCACGGGAGUGCAUUGGAAACUGGCGGGCUGGAGUGCCGGAGAGGUAAGCGGAAUUCCUAGUGUAGCGGUGAAAUGCGUAGAUAUUAGGAGGAACACCAGUGGCGAAGGCGGCCUGCUGGACAAUAACUGACGCUGAGGCGCGAAAGCGUGGGGAGCAAACAGGAUUAGAUACCCGAGUAC
rnacentral:rRNA from 1 species